GGUUUCGUAGCUCACAUUGUAGAGCGCUUGCUGUGUUGAGGCAUGGUGUUUCUGUCGCUGGUUCGAAUCCAGCUGAAGCCA